AUCCCUUCGGAGACAUCCGAUAAAAUUAAAACAAUACAUAAAAGAUUAGCAUGACCUAUGCGCAAAAAAAACACCUAGAAAUCGAGAAAUAGUCCAAAUUUUC